rnacentral:lncRNA from 1 species
UUUACACAACUUUUUUGGGGGAAAUGUCCUGGCGUCUAAGGUCAGUUACCUACCUAACUGGAGACCCCCUCUGGGAGGUGAAGGGUGUUUGUAGCAGCUGACUCUCUUAAGCUCUGCUUUAGAUAGAUGACAAAAAAGUUCAGGUAAGAUUUCUUUCUGCAUCUGCUAUAGCUCAGAUAUUUUCACUUUGAUUCCAUUUUGGUGGGUUUUUGGUCCCUUCAAUGUUUUAUGGCAUAAUUACAGUCUUCUUCAUAAUUUCUGUGUCUUGAUCUUUAAGCAACAACUUUAAAGCUUGUUGGUUUCACUGUACAUUGUUCAAGACUGAUUUGGGCUGCCUGUAAAUAUUGCGGGAUCUUAGCCUCAUCUAAAACUUCAAACUAAGAAAGGUAACGCAGAAAAAACAAGCUUGUGCAGGGAAACUCCCAUUUUUAAAACCAUCGGAUCUUGUGAGAUUUAUUCACUAUCAUGAGAACAGCACAGGAAAGACCCACCCCCAUGAUUCAAUUUCAAGGGGUAAAAAUAAAUGAAGUACUAAUACAUAUUACAAUGUAGAUGAACCUAGAAAAUAUUGUGCUAAGUGAAAGAAGCCAGUCAUAAAAGCUGACAUAUUGUCUGAUUCUAUUUACAUGAAAUAUCCAGAAUGGGUAAAUUCAUAUAGACAAAGCAGAUUAGCAGCUUCCAGAGUCCCGGGUGAGGGGGUUAUGGAGAGUGCUUAAUGGGUAUCUGAUUUCCUUUUGGGGUUAUAACAAUGGUUUGGAACUAGAUAGAGGUGAGGUUUGCACAACAUUGUAAAUGCAGUGAAUGGCACUUAGUUGUAAACUUUAAAAUGGUUAACCUUAUAUUAUGAGGAAUUUUACCUCAAUUUAAAAAACAAAAGCUGAAAAAAAUCUAUUUAUUUAGAAAUGCAGUAACAGGUUCAAGGCGCAGGCACUGAGAAUCUGGGGUAAAAGGGUAAGCACCUCUGAGAGAUGGAUGAAGGACAACUAUUGUUGGACAUCAAGGUCAGAGCAGAGAGAAGACUGACACAGGGCUGAGCUGUAGGACUAUUAACACAAGACUCCCAAGUCAGCAUUGGAGCUUUGCAGAACUGUUACUUAUGGAUACCCAUUAAAGUGCUCCAUUCUCAAAUAAACACCAUUUUCUUUUAGAGGAGCCUCUCUCUGUUAUUUAGGUUGACAAAGGAUAGGCUGAGAUGAUUAAAGUAGCUCUGCCAAAUAUAAGCAAAUUCUGAUUUAGUAAGAAGAGACUAGGGCCGGGCGCGGUGGCUCACGCCUGUAAUCCCAGCACUUUGGGAGGCCGAGACGGGCGGAUCACGAGGUCAGGAGAUCGAGACCAUCCUGGCUGACACGGUGAAACCCCGUCUCUACUAAAAAUACAAAAAUUAGCCGGGCAUGGUGGCGCGCGCCUGUAGUCCCAGCUACUCGGGAGGCUGAGGCAGGAGAAUGGCGUGAACCCGGGAGGCGGAGCUUGCAGUGAGUCGAGAUCGCGCCACUGCGCUCCAGCCUGGGCGACAGAGCGAAACUCCGUCUCAAAAAAAAAAAAAAAAAAAAAAAGAGACUAUGCAAAAGGAUUUUGCACGUGGGUUGGGGGCUAUUUCUCAGGACCCCAGGAACAUUGCCAACUCCUGGACAGCAGCCUCAGAGGGACAGAUUUUUAGCUUAAUGUAAAGAAGUUCCUAAGAGUCACAGUUUUAAAGGGUGAAUAGGUGUUCCUGGUCACUGGGUUUAUUUAAGCAACUACUAACUGUCCAAUCCACAGAGACUAUCAAAGUGUCACAAAAUUGGUUCAAGACAUCGACCAAAAGGCUUGUCUGAACCUGGGAUUCUGUGGCUUUCAGAGUAUAAGACACUGAGAACAUAACCAUUCACUUGAGAAAAAAAAACAAAACCUCAAACAUUAUCUUACAGAUAGACAUCUUCAGCAAGUUUAACUUCAAAUAUAAGAGAUAUAGCAUUUGGUUCUAUUUGGGUUUGAAUUCUUUUUUAUUGUAUUUGGGUUUGAAUUCUUCACUCCCCUAUCUUAUGAAGGCUGGCCUUGUCCAGAGGUUUAUGGGGAAGAGCAGAAAAUACUCAUCCAAAACAGCCAAGAACAUGUAGGGAAGGAAAAAAUAUAUUUUCCUCACCCAUCACUAAAUUUAUGGCUGAGAUACCUAUAACAAAAGAAAAGCAUACACAUUUAUGAAACAAAGACCCCAAGACAAGGUUAAACCUGUGUAUUUUUAUACUUAGGUUUGAUGAAGAGUAGACAAUUGUAAGAGAAAUAUAAUUAAAGAACAAAACAGUAUGAUCUAAUGAUAAUGAACUGGGAAGUACUUAGUAAGGCCUGUUUGUUCAGAUUCUUUUUGGCAUCUGUGUCUUCCUGGGUAUAGGGUGGGCACCUCUUGAAUGAGGGUCUUAAGACCUGCUUCAGGGAAGAAGAGGGAGUAGAAGGUGAGAGUGACCUUCCUGCUUCUGCUGUUUUCUCAAAUGCCAAGGUGCUAUAUUUUGUAGUAGCAUGUCCUGAACUCCAUCAAACCCUAAGAACCAAAGGAUAAAACAGAGUUGAGCAGGUAAACUGAGUUCCAAAUUGAGGGAGAGGUCUCUGGAGGACUGGGGUAGAUCUGAGGAAAUCUGGACAUCUGAGGGAGGAAGGAAGGAGUAACUGGAAGUGAGUCCAUAGCAAUGACUCGUUGAUGAGGGAGAAGCUAUGGAUACUUGCCUGCAGCAACUUCUCCUUUUAGGAGCCAUCCUAGGCGGGCAGGGAGACUUACAGGGCAAGACUGAAAGCUGUGCAUUUAUACCUCUUAAGUAGCUCUCACUCGAUGCCUUUUGACAGGCUGUCUGCUUAAUUUAUGCUCUUGGGCCUCUAGGUCUCAUCUGUCAAAUGUCCUAUAAAGAACUAGAGUGUUUUGAAGGUCUCUUUCCGGUUCUAAAAUCCUAGAGUUUUUAGAUUUUUCUCCACUCUGCCUAAUUUCUUUUAGAUUCCUAUAGAACAUCGGCUCUCCUUGAGUUUGAAAAGAAGCCUCAUGAAGAAAAUAGUCUGUUUCUCACUUACUUUGUGAAGUCUUUUUCCACUUGGAUUUUCUAGAAUUAUAAAUCAUUAUACUUUCAUUUUUCUUAAUUGAAAGGAGUUUUGUGAGCUACAUAGAAUUUAUUUUGAAAUUUAAUUAUGUCUAGAUUUAAUGUUAGUAAGCUGUUUUUACUCACAACACUCUGACAUCAAAUCGGUGUCUAACAAUUCAAUUCCGACACUAUCUACCUGGAAUUUGUGUCAGAUCCCACAAGUUAAAGGGGUCAGUCCUGCAUGACUGCCCCAACUUCAGAUGCCAAUUAUAGAAGUCUCGGGCUACCCAUACUCCUGAUAGACCAGCUAUAAACCGGGGGUUCCCACACUAUGACUUCAAGUUCGAUAACUUGCUAGAGCAAGUCACGUAACUCAAGAAAGUGCUUUACCUACUAUUACUGAUUUCUUAUAAAGGAUACAACUCAGGAAUAGCCCAAUGGAAGAGGUACAUAGGGAAAAAUAUGGGGUGGGUGGGGGUAGUGCCACCUUCCUAGCACCUCAGUGUGUUCACCAACCUGGAAGACCUCUGAACUAGUCAUUUAGGGGUUUUUAUGGAGACUUCAUUACAUGAUUGACUGAAUCUCAGGCCUCUGGUAAUUAACCCAAUCUCCAGUCCCUCUUCCCUCCCCAGUGGUUGGAGGGUAGGGCUGAAAGUUCCAAGCUUCUUUUCAAGGUUUGCUCUUUUGGAUGACCAGUCCCCAUUCUGAAGCUACCUAAGGGCCUCUAGACAGCAGUGAUCUCAUUAGCAUGCAAUAGACACUCAUCACUCUGGAGAUUCCAAGGGUUUUAGGAACCAGGGACUAAGACCAAAUAUAUUUUUUAAUACCAUAAUCAGUAAAUAGUUAAAUAUGGAAAACUCUCAAUUUUGCUUUUGCCACCAAACAAAUUCAAACACGUUCUAUGUAGUUUGCAAAGAAAGAAUUCAUAAAGAAAAUAGUUCCUGUAUUUUCAUAAAGAUAUUGAAUUUUAAUUAAAUAUGAAAUUUGGCUUCAUAUCCUGCAUAAAGGUAUAAAGCCACAUUGUGGAAAAUGGCAUAAUUUAGAAACAAAAUCUACCUUGAGCUAUUUUACUUAAUAUCUUCAGCUCUGAACUAAAUAACUGCUUAAUUCCUUUAGAUAACCAAAGAACACUUAAAUAGAAAUUAAGAAAAUUGUUUUUAGGUAUUUUCAGUUUGAAGAACUUGCUAAAUGGAUUUCAUUGAUCUUCCCUUGAGGAAACAUAGAAUAUUUUAAAUCUUAUACAUUAACUAGCUAAUUCAACAAUUGGGUCCCUAUUAUAUGCCAGGCUAGGUGCUAAGAAUACAAAAGUGAGUACAGCUGGUCUCUACCUUUUAAGGCACUUAAUCCUAUUCUGCUCCAAGGAGGCAGCAGGGCAAACAUGGCUCAGCUGGUUGGUUCAGGAGUCUGAUUAUCUAGGUCACACCUCACCUCCAUUUACCAGCUGCAAAACACUAGAGAAGUUAUCUACUACAUCCUGAGUUUCAAUUUCCUCAUCUACGAAAAAGGCACAAUCAUAGAACCUCAAAAGAGUGUCGUGGCUAAAAUAGUUAGGAUAAUAUUUAGAGUAUGUGAAAUAUUUAGAAUAUAUUUGUGAUGGGUUUUUUUUUUUUUUUUGGAUAUGUUAACUUGGUUAAGCUAUGGUUCCAGCUAUUCAACCUAACGAUAACCUAGGUGCUGUGGAAAUUGUGUUUUGUAAAUGUGAGUCCAUAAUCAGUUGACUUUAAAUAAGGGAGAGCAUUCUAAAUAGUCUGGGUGGGUCUGAUUCAAUCAGUUGAAAGGCCUUAAAACCAGGGCUGAGACUUCCCUGAAAAAGAAAACAUCCACCUACGGACAGCAGCUUCAGCCUGUGCAGGAGAGUUCCUGAUGGCCUGCUCUGUGGAUUUUGGAUUUCCUUAUCCAGUUCCUUAAUUGUGUAAGCCUAUUCCUUGUAGUAAAUCUAUAUCCAUAUUUAUCUAUAUAUAUAUUAUCCUCUGUUAUUUGUGCAUUUCUGGUUGAACGCUGGGUGAUAUAGAUGUCAAAAUUGUAGUGAAUGUAAAGUGCUUAGCAGUAAAAGUCAUAAACAUUAUUUUAAAAAAACAACAAUAAAAACAACAAUCCAUGUUUUGUUAUGGUUGCUGGGUUUGGGAACCCUCAAGAAAAAGACUAGACAUGAAGACGCCAUUUAAACCAAGGCUUACAGUAACAAAGAAAGGACUCUAGGUUGAGGCAAAUACAAUAGCAAGCAGUAGGUUUCUCUCAAGGGCAGGAUAUAAGUCGGGGAAAAAAUAUCUUCUAGGUCUCAGCAUGAUGGCUUGCACCUGUAAUCUCAACACUUUGGGAGGCCAAGGUGGGAAGACUGCUUAAGGCCAUGAGUUAGAGAACAGCCUAAGCAAUAUGACUUGACCCUAUCUCUAGAGAAAAUAAAAGAAACUUAGCCAGGCAUGGUAGCACUUGCCUGCAGUUCCAGCUACCUGGGAGACUGAGGUGAGAGGAUCACUUGAGUUCAGGAGUUGGAGGCUGCAGUGAGCUAUGAUCAUGCCACUGCACUCCAGCCUGAGUGACAGAGCAGGACCCUGUCUCUAAAAAUGAACAAACAAAUGAAAAAACAACCAAAAACUCAUGUCUUAGUCCAUUUGAGCUGCUAUUCCAAAAUGUCAUAGGCUGGUUGCAUAUAAACAACAAAAAUUCAUUUCUCACAGUUCUGGAGACUGGGAAGUCCAAGACCAAGAAGCUGGUAGAUUUAGGGCCCAUUACCAGAUUCCUAGAUGGUGCCUUCUCCCUGUGUCCUCACACAGUGGAAGGGGCAAGGCAGCUCUCUGGGCCUCUUUUAUUUGGGGACCAACCCCAUUCAUUAGGGCUCCAUGGCCUCAUGACCUAAUCACCUCCCAAAGGCCCCACUUCCUAAUGCCAUCUCCUGGGGGGUUAGAAUUGCAACAUCUGAAUUUUGAAGAAACACAAACAUUCAGAUCCUAGCACACUAUUUAUAAUAUAAGGAACAGCUAUAUAGAAUCAAGGUUGGAAAUGGGUGGUUCAAGAGAAAAAUCCUGUACACUAGUUGUUAGUUUGGCCUGUAGAAUGAUUUUUUAAAAAGCAUUUAAAAAUAAUUUUUAAAAAUGAACCUACAAUUUGUUAAAAAAUUAAGAGAUUUUUGCAUAAAAUACAGAUAUCUGGCUUUUUUGAAAACCUGGAAGCUCUGGCCACACUAAGCCCAUACUGUCUCUGGGUCAUAAACAUUUGAUGCUAGUCCUUUCUGUGUGGUCUCCACAAUGUGCUGUGGAAGACAAGGCACAGCUGCCUCCUGCGUUUGUAGAAUCUGCUUGAACCCUGUGGGCAUCUAUGAUACCCUGCCCUAGACAAUCUCCUAAAACCUGGCCUUAAACUUUUCUUGACCUUCUUUGGCCCAAAAGCUUCCAUUCCUUACUUAGGCAAACUUUUCCCAUGAUCACUCCCUGGACUGUCUAUUCUGAAAGUUUCAUUUAUUUUUUCUAUAUUGUCUUAAUAAUAGCCAACUCCCUAGACUGCUAUACUUCCCUUAACGUUUUUGUUAAUCUUACUAGCAGGUCACACAAUGCCUGAAUACAUUUCUCUGAGACACAGUCAUGAUGAAAGAGUACAUAGCUUCUACAUAGACAUUAAAAUAGAACAUUUUUUCCCUAAACUACUUGUCACCUGGCCACUUGUACAAUGCCAGCAGAUGACUAUGGGUCUGACUUGAGAAAUAAAACCGAGGGAGUCAGGCUCAGAAAUGAACUGCCUUAAAACGCCCUGUACCAUAUCUAGUCACGUGACAAUAAAUACAGACAUGUUUCUGAUACAGUGGUUUCUGUGUACAGGCACACACUGACAGGUACCUUAAAAAAAAAAAUGGGAUGACAACAUACUUGUAUAUAGGUACUCAUCCUCACCUCUCUCUGUCCAAUCUUAGAGGAAAAUGUGUCUGCUUUAAAGUAACCUAUGAUCUGUGUCUCCCUGGCACCUCACUGAAGCCGGGAGUCCUCUCUUGACUGUUUUCCUCCACUUUCCACAUCUUCCUCCAAUUGGUUCCUUCCCUAUAAGCUAGAAAUACGUUCACAUCACUGCCACUAACAAAUCUUUGUCCUUACUAUAUAGGCCUUUGUAGCUACCAUCUUUCUCCCCCCAU